rnacentral:rRNA from 1 species
GGGACUUACCAAAGAUGGCCUCUACUUGUAAGCUAUCACUUAGAGAUGGGCCUGCGUCUGAUUAGCUAGUUGGUGGGGUAACGGCCCACCAAGGCGACGAUCAGUAGCCGGUCUGAGAGGAUGAACGGCCACAUUGGGACUGAGACACGGCCCAGACUCCUACGGGAGGCAGCAGUGGGGAAUCUUCCGCAAUGGGCGAAAGCCUGACGGAGCAACGCCGCGUGAGUGAAGAAGGUCUUCGGAUCGUAAAGCUCUGUCGAAGGGGACGAACGUGGGUUCUAUCAACAACGGAACCUAAUGACGGUACCUUUCAAGAAAGCCACGGCUAACUACGUGCCAGCAGCCGCGGUAAUACGUAGGUGGCGAGCGUUGUCCGGAAUCAUUGGGCGUAAAGGGAGCGCAGGCGGGAAAUCAAGUCCAUCUUAAAAGUUCGGGGCUCAACCCCGUGAUGGGAUGGAAACUGGUUUUCUUGAGUGCAGGAGAGGAAAGCGGAAUUCCUAGUGUAGCGGUGAAAUGCGUAGAUAUUAGGAGGAACACCAGUGGCGAAGGCGGCUUUCUGGACUGUAACUGACGCUGAGGC